UGGCCACCACAGUGUUGAGAUAGACUGGCACCUACUGUUCUCAACCAAAGCCAAACAACUAAUACUGCUGAAGACCUCAAGGCCCACAUGUGACCUGGUGUAACCUAAGGAUAGAAAAGUCUCUGUCUCAUCUCGGUCUCAGAUCUACCUAAGUAGGCUAUAUACUGUCUUGUCUUGACUUCAUCUUAACCCCCUUAAAUUCUUGGUCUUGUCUCUGUGUCGAUACAUUCUGGUCUUGGUCAUGCCUUGGUCUUGGUUUAGGCGGUCUUGACUACAGCACUGUUUCUGGGUAAGGAAGCUGUAAAGAUAAUAUGCAAUUCCUGAACAGGGACAUGCAUGUACUAAAGAUCCCCAUAAUCCAAUAUAGGUAAAGACGUAGCAGCAAGAAGUCUCAUAACUUCUUUCUGAAAUAGAAUUAGAAAACAACAUGCACUUGGUUUUGUCAGCAUUUAGAACAAGUUUCAGGUGAGACAAGGUUUAUAAGCACUCCACAAUGGUCAUCAAAUAACUGUAUGAUCAGCAUACAAAUGAAAAUCAGCAUUUUUCAUUCUUUGACUCAAAUUAGUUAUAAAAAUAAUAGUAAGUAAUAGUAAAAAAGAAGUGGGCUGAGCUCAGAGCCCUGUGGAACACCCAUGCACAUCCACAUCUGUAACUACAGUAACUACUUCAUCUGAUGAGAUUAUUUCUGCUUCCAGAGCAGCACUGCCUCUGUAAAAAACGUGAAUUAAAACCCAAAUGGAUUUACAAUGACACUGACAGGACAGUCAAGAGGGGAUUUAAUCUGAACGCUUCCAGUUACUACACAGCUUCUCUUGUGUCUCUGUCUCAGUGUUGCCAUCUUUUGUCUGGAGAUAAAUGGAUCGGUAGUCACCGCCCGCCUGUCCUUGCAGUUUUAUUCUCCUACUUUGCUUCAUAGGGAUCCAAAAUGUCCUCCAAUAAUCACAGCGAUAUCUAGUGAAACCAGACCUUUAAUCUAUAGACACUAUGCUGGUUUUCUACUUCCUGCGACUGAAACAGAUAGCCCUGUAUAAAUAACAGGUACUCCCUUAUAUCAGAUAGACACACCUGUGCCACCUAUCUUGGGUGUUUUCUUCUGCCUUUUGCCCAAUGCAUGCUGGGAUAAACCUGCAACUUGAAUAGGAAUAAGCAAGUAAAACAAAAAAUGACUUGUAAUCAAAUAAAAUGUUUCCAAGACUCUUACACACAUAGACGUUAUGUGUAAAAUCCAAACUGAUGUUUUUAUUUAGACAGGGCUGUCUUUUUGGGAAAACAUCUCUUCAGUCUGGUGCUUUUGGUCCUCAGGUGACCAUCUUUUUUCCGGGAAGCCUUCCGAUCCUCUGACGUUCCUCAGAAACCAGCUUACAACUGGACACAUGCAGUCUAUGCUCACACACACACACACACCCACACCCACACACACACACACAAACUGCAACAAAAACCAACAAUAAACCAGCAGGUUCAAAGUUUUUUCCAUCACGUUUACUCUCCGUUUAUAUACAACCAACCAACCUUCAGGUGCUUUUUAAACUCUUUUUUACAGUGCUCUAGCAGGUCACAGACACAUACAUACAUUUGCUGGAAACACAGUGCUCCUCCUUUUAGCAUCAACGCACACACUCACACACACGCACACACACACAUGCAUACGCACUGUGUUUUUGCCGGCCGCCUGUUGACAUCAGGCUUCCCACGGUGCUGUUGGGUGUCAUCAUCAUCACCCCGCAGGGCUUGGUGCUCCCUUCCUCACCCAACCCAACGCACCCACUCCCCCAACCCCAAGGUGCUGCAUGUCAGUCAGUCAGUGUAAUAUCUGAUUCCAUGUUAGAUUAGGGAGUAAUGAUCAUAAUAAUAAUGGUAAUAAUAAUUACAAUAAUAAUCUGUUAUUGUGUGUGUGUACUGUUCAAGGUUGGUGCUCAGUUCAGUUCACUCUCAGCCUAGAGGGGAGAGAGAGAGAGGCUAGAGAAAGCAUAUAUUACAGUUAGUAUAGUGACUUGUUCUAUUGUACCCAAGGAUGCCAGAAAAAAUUGUUAAACCGGAGAGGUAAAGGACGCCCCCAAACCAGAGCCAGUUGAAAUAACACCGAAUACAGUGUAGGAUGUUUUUCUAAAUUGUUGUUGCAGAUAAAUUUUCUGUCAGAUCAACAAACCAAUUAAUCAACUGAUCAAUUAAGCCCCUCCACACAGAUGACACAAAUUGAGAAAAUCUUGGUUGUAAAUCUGUGAAUAUCUGCGACAAGUUCAUGGAUCUACAACCAAGUCCAGUUGGUCCAGAUUUUCUAAGAAAGAUAACCUGGACGAUUGAGAACCUUCGAGUUCACGUUAAAGGAGCAGUGUGUAGGAUUUAGUGGCAUCUAGUGGUGUAGUUGCUGAUUGCAAGCCUCAUCCUCUUCUUCCUAGUAUGGUGGAGAAACUACGGUGACGACGAAAGGUGCGAAAAGCGCAAAAUACUGUAUCUAGAGCUAGUGUGUGCCUAGUUUGUCCGUUCUGUAAUACUGUAGAAAUAUGGUGGUUCAACAUGGUGGACUCGUAACAUUGUUAUUCAUGUUAUAUUUUGUAAAUAGAGCCCCCUAAAUGCUACACACUGGACCUUUAAAAUCAAACUAAGUACAAUGGCUCAAAACCUCGUCAUGGGGUCCUAACACAACUCUGAGGGUGUCACCAGAUGAUUUAAAAAAAAGUUUAGUUGCUUUGUUUUGUUUGGGGAUAUACUCUGACCUCAUCAUGGCCUCAACCAGCUAAAAAUCACUCUGGUUGAACUGCAUUUACAUGAAGGCAUUGCUUCAUUUUAAGAUGUCACAAGGCCAAAUGCUUAAGAACCACUGUCGAGAGAUAAUAAACAAAUCAAGGCGUAAGCUAAGAGAGAUUUAAGACUUAAAAGAUGUUUGGGAGGAUGACUGAAAACAUUACUAUCGUGCAUUUUAUGAAGAGUUUCCUCACAUAGCAGCUGUGAGUGUGUUGUAAAUGGAUCAUAGUUUGUUAACAUAUACAUGUCGUGGGCAGAUGUUCAUCUCAUUUGGUGUUAUUUCAACCUGUGUCUGUUUUAGAGUGCAGUCGGACUAAAGCGAGAGGAACGGCGUUGAUAUCUAUAAAUGAUGGGUAACACGGUGAUGAUGUUUCUGUUCGCCUAUUGACAGCUUUCAGGCUGAGUGACGCGUUGUUUUUCAACACUGAUACACUUAUUAACACAUACACACAAAACACUGUUAUUAACACACAGAGCGAACGACGCUCAGACGCAGAGAUACAUGCACAACACCUACAAAUACAAUGCUGUGGCGCAUUCAGACACUCAUCUCAUGGACUUAAUGAAAGAUGAGCUUUUAGGAAAAAAGAGGACCUAGUGGUGUUUCAAAAGGUGCUAAAAUUUUAUCUGAAAAUAAGAAAAAUAUAUUGUUAGGAGUAUAAAUCAAGUUUGUCUUUACAAUGACUGUAUUUAAGUUUGUCGUAGUAAUGAAAAGGCACUAUUAUUAUUUUACUCUUGUAUGAAUAUGAACUAAUUAAAAAGGCAUUUUAACUUUGUACUUGAACAAUGUAAGAAAUGAAACGUGAAUAAAAAAAAAGACUGUUUCUUGUGAUUUAGCCUGAAGGCUCGGUGUUAUCUACCUUUAUGUCAGUUAUGGGUGUAACGACUCAGCUCCAAUUCAAAAAUUCAAUUUGAGUUUCAGCUCAUUUAACCGUCAGUUCCCUCUGCGUUGAAAGUUUGCUGACACAGUAACACUCGCAAAACUCUUGCAAGUGGCAGUUUGUCGACUUCUGAGAGUUUUUCGGAGGACAGCUAAAAACCUGAUUACCCAAAUAAAACAUUGAUUAAGAAGUGAAAAUUGUUACACCCCUAAUGUCAGUGUGUGUCUAUGUGUUUUAAGGUUAUGAUGCAUGUUCAGAGAAGGUAAAUGUAUCUACAUGACUUAGAAAUGUUAUAAUCUACACCACAUCCUAAAAGACAAGGCAAAUUUAAGCAGCCUUUAUAGACGGAAAGUCUGUCCGUUUAACUUCUUUUUGGAGCUUUUUCAGGGGCCUUGUUGUGCGGGAAAUUAUGAAGUUGAGCUGAGCUACCAGGGUGCUGAAGACAGAAGUUGUGUCUUCUACCAGCCUCAUAAUAGAUGAAGUCAUGGUAUAAACGCUCCAAAUUGGCCUUAAAAUCACUUGAAGGCAGCACACGUCUCUGGAGUCAGGAGACACGCCCCUGUCUACUGAGAAGAGGAGACCCCAUCGCCGGACACAUCUCGUCUCCUAUUGGUCCGCUUUUCCGUUGCUCAGGUUCGAACGCCUUCUGAUUGGCUGCAGCCGGACCGUCGGCAUUGAAGCAUCUGCGGCUCGCGCUGUGCCAGCUGUCCUCGCGCACUCUGCUGGUGCUGGGCAACGGAGAGCGAGAGAGAGAGAGAGAGGCGCGUGCUAGAAGGAGGAUCUGUGAAUCUGGAGAAAAUUAACGGGAUUAUGGCUGCCAACAUGGGGUCGAUGCGUAUCCUCAUCAAGGGAGGGAAGGUGGUCAAUGAUGACUUCACCCAGGAAGCGGAUGUCUACAUUGAGAACGGCAUCAUUCAGCAGGUUGGAAAGGAACUGAUGAUACCAGGCGGCGCCAAGGUGAUUGACGCCUCUGGAAAGCUGGUGUUGCCGGGCGGAAUAGACACCAGCGUGCAUCUGCAGGAGACUUUCAUGAACGCCAGCAUUCAGGAUGACUUCUACAGCGGGACCAAGGCGGCUCUGAUGGGUGGCACCACCAUGGUGAUGGCUCUGGUCCUGCCUGAACAACACUGCUCUCUGCUGGACGCCUACGAGAACUGCCGAGCUCUGGCUGACGCCAAGGCGUGCUGCGACUAUGCUCUACACGUCGGGGUGACUUGGUGGGGACCGAAGGUGCGUAAUGAGAUGGAGACCCUGGUGAGGGAGCACGGAGUGAACUCGUUCCAGAUGUUCAUGGCCUACAAAGACAUGAUGAUGCUGAGGGACUCUGAGCUCUACCAGACGCUGCAGACCUGUAAAGACAUCGGGGCCAUCGCACGUGUCCACGCUGAGAACGGAGAGCUGGUGGCAGAGAGUGCCAAAGAGGCUCUGGAUUUGGGCAUCAGUGGACCAGAGGGUAUCGAGAUCAGUCGACCAGAAGAGCUGGAGUCUGAGGCUACUCACAGAGCUGUCACCAUCGCCAACAGGGCUCGCUGCCCAAUCUACCUGGUGAAUGUAUCCAGUAUGCCUGCUGGAGACAUGAUUGCUGCUGCUAAGAUGCAAGGUAAGGUGGUCCACGCAGAGACCACAGUAGCUCACGCGGUGCUGAACGGGAUGCAGUAUUACCACCAGGACUGGGCACACGCUGCUGCCCACGUCAUCGUCCCUCCCCUCCGCCUCGACCCUAACACCCCCAGCUUCCUCAUGGGCCUGCUGGGAAAUGACACUCUGAGCGUUGUGGCAUCGGAGCACCGUCCAUUCGGAAUCAAGCAGAGAGCUUUGGGGAAAGAGGACUUCACAAAGAUCCCUCACGGUGUGGCUGGAGUCCAGGACAGGAUGAGCGUCAUCUGGGAGAGGGGAGUGGUUACAGGAAAGAUGGAUGAGAAUCGUUUUGUGGCAGUGACGAGCUCCAACGCUGCAAAGAUCUACAACCUGUACCCACGCAAGGGUCGCAUCAUCCCCGGGGCUGACGCUGACGUGGUGGUCUGGGAUCCAGAUGCAACAAGGACGAUCUCUGUGAGCACUCAGGUGCAGGGCGGAGACUUCAACCUGUACGAGGGGAUGCGCUGCCACGGCGUUCCCCUGGUCACCAUCAGCCGAGGACGUCUGGUGUGUGAGAACGGUGUGUUCAUGUGCGCUGAGGGCUCUGGAAAGUUCUACCCACAGCGCACCUUCCCUGACUACCUCUACAAGAAGAUGGUGCAGAGAGAAAAGAGUCAGGCUUAUAAAGGGGUUGCUAGGGAUCCGUACUCCGGUGACGUGGCCAAGGUGGCAAAUGCCAUGAAGAAGGAACUCGGUUUGGGCCCCAUUGAUGGUGACAAUGCCGACAAAGGGCCCCCUGGUGCUCGGGUGCACCAGGGAGUCCGAGACCUCCAUGAGUCGUCCUUUAGCCUCUCAGGGUCUCAGGUCGACGACCACAUCCCCAAGAGGUCCUCGGCUCGGAUCCUGGCCCCUCCCGGCGGUCGCUCCAGUGGUAUUUGGUAAUCACUGAUGCAGAGUGGAGCCUCAACCGUCCGACCCUCCUUGUUUUGUAUAAAUCUGAGCAACCAGGAAAACUGCACUGAUUUUCAAUCACAGUCAAGAAGGGAAAUAUAAAUUCAAGCAUGUGUCUGUGAUCGGUGAUCUGCCAAAGUGACUUUUACAACUUCUAAUUUGUGUCUUAAUUGGAGUGACUGACCUGAUUAAUUGCGACGAGAGUGAAGGGCUAUCUAUGAAUUUAAAACGUUUUGCCAAAUUCAAGCUGAUCACACCAACAUUGACAAAGUCUGCUCAUCACCACCCUGCUUGUGUCCCGCUAAACUAAACAAACUGUGAAAGAUCAAAACCAGUACAGUUUUUGAUGGUUUGAACUAAAGUGAUGUCGACUGAAUUAUUUAAAAAUAGUAGAACUGGAUUCAGUGAAUUAUCUAUUAUACCCCCGCCACUCACACACACAUACACAAACAUACGGUACACUGUAGACACCAUAGCUUUAGACUCAUAUGAAGAUGUGUGUGGAUUCUGUUUGUGAUUAAACGCCCGCUGUGCUCGGCUUCCUGCAGCACUGUGGGUUCCUCUAACUGUUUUUGUUUCCACUGGAUGAACUGUGCUGUGUAGUGGUGACAUCCAACUGCUUUAAACACCGUGUGAUCUUACAGCUAAACUCUCUAAACGGAGUCAGACUCGACCUUAUCCAUCCUCAUAUUUUCACUGCCUCUGACUUAAACAACACUCACAUAUCCCAGAAACAUUCCUGCCUCACCUGCAAUGUAGCAGGGUCUAUAGAUGGAAGUAUAGAACCUGUGGGCUGAGUACUGAUCCCACAACACCUAAAUGUAGGCUUGUCUGCCAUGGAAACGUAGUAGCCAUAGACCUUGUGAAAGUUUCUAAAUAAAGGAAAGAUGAACAGAUUUAAACAUCGCAGUGUGGAUAUCGAAGGAGAAGCUUUCUGCGACUUUGCUACUGAUAAUACACAACAUAAAGCGUAAUGCUUGAUGUAAUUUCCAUCUAUAAAGUUGAAUGCUGUGCCUUCUCAUUCACCAGAGAGAUCACUGAGAGCCUUCUGAGUAAAAACAGGAGCUGUUGUUGGACUGCUGAAAACACCAGAAGGUCUCAUUUAUCUAAUUGAAAGAAUAAAUGUGCCAAUGUGAAUCACCCCGUGCCACACCUACACCCAUGCAUGAAGAGCACCACAUGGAGACAGAGGAUUGAAACGUCUCCUGAACGCCGCAGGCUCGCAACGACAACUGGUGCUGUUUUUUUACAAUUACCUACGACGGCGUUAUUUUAUUGUUGGCUGGGUUCGUUGUUUUGAAGGCACUGUGACUGCUCAGUGGCUGUGUGUGUUUGUAGAUCUUUGUUGUGUUGGACAGUGAACCUGUUGAAUCUGUAAGUGGCUGCUUGUUUCUUACCACAAGAGAAUAAAGUGAGAAAAAUAAUAUCUCAA